UGUUUCGGCUAGGGGGUCAUCCCGACUUACCAACCCGAUGCAAACUACGAAUACCGAAGAAUGUUAUCACGGGAGACACACGGCGGGUGCUAACGUCCGUCGUGAAGAGGGAAACAACCCAGACCGCCAGCUAAGGUCCCAAAGUCAUGGUUAAGUGGGAAACGAUGUGGGAAGGCACAGACAGCCAGGAUGUUGGCUUAGAAGCAGCCAUCAUUUAAAGAAAGCGUAAUAGCUCACUGGUCGAGUCGGCCUGCGCGGAAGAUGUAACGGGGCUAAACCAUGCACCGAAGCUGCGGCAGCGACACUAUGUGUUGUUGGGUAGGGGAGCGUUCUGUAAGCCUGCGAAGGUGUGCUGUGAGGCAUGCUGGAGGUAUCAGAAGUGCGAAUGCUGACAUAAGUAACGAUAAAGCGGGUGAAAAGCCCGCUCGCCGGAAGACCAAGGGUUCCUGUCCAACGUUAAUCGGGGCAGGGUGAGUCGACCCCUAAGGCGAGGCCGAAAGGCGUAGUCGAUGGGAAACAGGUUAAUAUUCCUGUACUUGGUGUUACUGCGAAGGGGGGACGGAGAAGGCUAUGUUAGCCGGGCGACGGUUGUCCCGGUUUAAGCAUGUAGGCUGGUUGUCCAGGCAAAUCCGGAUAAUCAAGGCUGAGGUGUGAUGACGAGGCACUACGGUGCUGAAGUAACAAAUGCCCUGCUUCCAGGAAAAGCCUCUAAGCAUCAGGUAACAU
rnacentral:rRNA from 1 species